ACGGAGUACUUCGGUACUUAGUGGCGGACGGGUGAGUAACGCGUGAGAAUCUGCCUUCAGGUUCGGGACAACCACUGGAAACGGUGGCUAAUACCGAAUGUGCAGUAAUGUGAAAUAUUUAUAGCCUGGAGAUGAGCUCGCGUCUGAUUAGCUAGUAGGUGUGGUAAUAGCGCACCUAGGCGACGAUCAGUAGCUGGUCUGAGAGGAUGAUCAGCCACACUGGGACUGAGACACGGCCCAGACUCCUACGGGAGGCAGCAGUGGGGAAUUUUCCGCAAUGGGCGAAAGCCUGACGGAGCAAUACCGCGUGAGGGAGGAAGGCUCUUGGGUUGUAAACCUCUUUUCUCAGGGAAGAAAAAAUGACGGUACCUGAGGAAUAAGCAUCGGCUAACUCCGUGCCAGCAGCCGCGGUAAUACGGAGGAUGCAAGCGUUAUCCGGAAUAAUUGGGCGUAAAGCGUCCGCAGGUGGCUAUGUAAGUCUGCUGUUAAAGAGUCUGGCUCAACCAGAUAAAGGCAGUGGAAACUACAUGGCUAGAGUGCGUUCGGGGCAGAGGGAAUUCCUGGUGUAGCGGUGAAAUGCGUAGAGAUCAGGAAGAACACCGGUGGCGAAAGCGCUCUGCUAGGCCGCAACUGACACUGAGGGACGAAAGCUAGGGGAGCGAAUGGGAUUAGAUACCCCAGUAGUCCUAGCCGUA
rnacentral:rRNA from 1 species